UCCCUGGUAGUCCAGUGGCUAGGACUCUGCACUCCCAGUGUGGUGGGCCCAGGUUCAAUCCUUGGUUAGGGAA
rnacentral:tRNA from 1 species